rnacentral:lncRNA from 1 species
CAAAUUACAAGCUAUGCAUCAAGUUGCAAGAGUGGAUCAGUCAGCAUUCCUGACCUUCAAUGCAGGUUUACAGUAAUUAAAAACAUAAUGCACAUAUUUGCCUCAUUUUGUAUUUUCUCAUAAAACAUGAUUUGAUGCAACAUGAUUAGGUCGAUUAGCAAGUCAUAAUAUAUGAUGCAUUCUGUUAUACUUUCAUGCCCAUAUAAUGUUACAGUAAUUGUGUCCUACCGAAAACAAAUUCUUGAUAUAUAUUGGUCAAUGGCCUGUCAUGUUUAAAAAAAUACUAAAUGACCGGCAAUCCUACAAGGCUGCAUUUUAUAAAUGUGUACAGUAUGUUGACCAACAAUAUAAAAUUUUUUGUGACGUUUCGUAGCUGACCAUAGUUUUAAAUUCAAGCCUGAAGGAAU